GAUGCUGCAAGAAGAAGUUACUCUGAUUCAAGAUUAGAAAAAGAAUGAUGUGCGAAUCGAUAAAUCGAUAAUAAACACUGCAAUAUUCCAUGAAAAAAAACAGGGAAAAACCUCCAUGCUUGUUUUCAUCCAAAAUAUAACAGAGGUUAUAAGGUGAGACUGUGUGUGUGUUCAGGAUGGGUCUCUCAGGAGAAGCGGCUCUUUCGGGAAACUCAGGGAAGUCCUGCGCAGAAGCAGCGAGAUGCUGGUGAAGAAGAUCCAGGGAACGAUGCCACCAGAACCUCGCAACUCAAAUAUGAAGAGAGCCGCGUCCCUCGGCUACCUGAACAGUAAUGGAGAUGAAGACGACUCUUUCCAGGGUUCGGGGGCCGUGAGGACGCUGAGAAACAGCAGACCUCUCAGCUCAAGCACAGUGGAGCUCUACAAAAGCACAGACUCAUGAAAAAUACAUGCGUCUUCUGGCUCUUUAGCACUAGAUUUGUAUAUGUUGGAAGCUUUGGUUCAUGUGCUGAUGUUUUCAGCAUUCUCUCACACACUCUUAUAAAUCAUGCAUGUUUCAGCAGCAGUCCAUCCUUAAAUGAAAACUCGUUAUGCUCACUCUCAUGUGGACCACAACUGUGUCUCUGAUCACACAGCUAUUUUCCAUACAGUGUAAGUGAAUGGAGAUGAGUGCUGCCAAACUCUUAAAAAGUCCAUUAAAGUAGCCUAUAAAUCUUGAGCACUAGAGUCAAAACUGCAUGUCUUCCCUGUGGGUGAAGACCUUCACCAAUAAUCUCUCCGUCUCCAAAAUCCAGUCAAUAUGUGUGGAACCAGACUUAAUCACAAUAUUGCACUACUCUUAUGGUGCCUUUUUGCAUCGUGACAAUGGCCCAAAUGAAAUAAACUGUGCUUUGGGUCUAUCGGUAGUAUUCAGGUACAACAUGCCGCAGAAAUUGAAUAAUCAAAUGUAAAAAAUAAAACACUGCAAAGUUUGUAUGAAUUAAAUAUAGAAUGAAGUUAUGAAAUUAAAUCUCACAAUUCUGACUUUUUCUCACAAUUAGGAGUUUAUAUCUCAAAAUUCAAGAUUUGUUUUGGUAAUUGCAAGGUUAAAUCACUAUUGUGACUUUUCUUUCGCGAGUUCAUGUCUUGCAAUUCUCACAAUUGUAAGUUUAUAUCACAUCUGACAUUUUUCUAGCAAUUACAAGUUUAUGCCUUAGAAUUCAGACUUUUUUCUCGCAAUUACUAGUUUAUAUGUUGAAAUUCAGACUUUUGAAUUUGUAGACUUUUGCCUUUUGCAAUUGUGAGUUUAUAUCACAACUCCAAUUUUUUGCAAUUACGAGUUUACAUCUCACAAUUUAGACUUUUUUCUUGCAAUUGCAUGUUUAAAUCACAAUUCUUACUUUAUUCUUGGAAUUGCGAGUCAGAAUUGCGAGUUUAUAUCUUGCAAUUUAAAAAAAAUUCUCACAAUUGUACGUUUUUAUCACAAAUCGGACAUUUUUCUAGCAAUUACAUGUUUAUGCCUCAGAAUUCUGAUUUUUCUCUCGCAAUUACGUGUUUAUAUCUCGCAAUUCAGACUUUUUUCUUGCAAUUGCAUGUUUAUAUCACAAUUCUUUAUUCUUGGAAUUACGAGUCAGAAUUGUGAGUUUAUAUCUUGCAAUUAAAAAAAAAUCUCACAAUUGUAAGUUUACAUAACAAAUCUGACAUUUUUCUAGCAAUUACAAGUUUAUGCCUCAGAAUUCUGACUUUUUUCUCGCAAUUACGCGUUUAUAUCUCGCAAUUCAGACUUUUUUCUUGCAAUUGCAUGUUUAUAUCACUAUUCGGACUUUUCUCACAUUUACGAGUUUACAUCUCACAAUUUGGAGUUUUUGCGUGUUAAUAUCACAAUUCUUACUUUAUUCUUGGAAUU